CAGGCCUAACACAUGCAAGUCGAACGAUGCUUUCGGGCAUAGUGGCGCACGGGUGCGUAACGCGUGGGAAUCUGCCCUUGGGUCUGGGAUAACAGUUGGAAACGACUGCUAAUACCGGAUGAUAUCGCGAGAUCAAAGAUUUAUCGCCUGAGGAUGAGCCCGCGUUGGAUUAGGUAGUUGGUGGGGUAAAGGCCUACCAAGCCGACGAUCCAUAGCUGGUCUGAGAGGAUGAUCAGCCACACUGGGACUGAGACACGGCCCAGACUCCUACGGGAGGCAGCAGUGGGGAAUAUUGGACAAUGGGCGCAAGCCUGAUCCAGCAAUGCCGCGUGAGUGAUGAAGGCCUUAGGGUUGUAAAGCUCUUUUACCCGGGAUGAUAAUGACAGUACCGGGAGAAUAAGCCCCGGCUAACUCCGUGCCAGCAGCCGCGGUAAU
rnacentral:rRNA from 1 species